CAUAAGGUCCGGCGCUGCCCUGCCCUGCCCUGCCCUGCCCUGCCCUGCGUUGCGUUGCGCUGCCCGACCUCGGUUUCCGAAAGAAUGCGCACACGCGGGGGUCCUCUCGUUCCCCAGGGGCCUGGCGCACAUCCAGAGCGCACACCCAUCUUAGUGCUCAAAAGACCCGGGGAUCCCUAGGGCCGAGCGGUGGUGCCUCUUGGACCGCGUGUGACCUGUGGUCUGCGGGUUCACAACCCGGUUCAGAGCUGCCCUCCCCCAGCCAAGACCCCACCGGCUAAAGCCACGCGGCUGGUGAGCAGGCCUGAAAGGGCACCGUGUGACCUUAGGUAGGGCAUGUGGCUCCGCGGCAAGAGAGUAAAAGUCACCCUCCUCAGCCGGCUGUUUCUCGGAGUUCACGGGGGAGGUCAGUUUCCCAGCAUGACACAGCACGGGUGUGGGUGGCCCGGCUGCCUUCCUUGCCUUUCCCUCACAACCCGUCCCCUCUCCCUCUUAAGCCAGGUUGGCGGUUCUAUGCGUUGUUCAGAAGCAGUUUUGAAUGCUUGGGUCUUGGCUGUUUUCCACACUCUGGCCCGUGCAAGCUUGUGAAGGUCGCGCGGGCGCACACAAACGGGGGUGCGGUGAGGGGGGGGGGGCGCGCAUCAGUACUGUAUGUUGUGUUGCAGCAACGUGGGAGCCCUUUCCACAGCAAAAAGCAGGAGGGGCUGCCUAGCUUCAGCUAAUAGGAAGUUGUUAAUGACAGUGAGUCUCUACCGUGGGAUGUGGCAGGUGCAGCCUCUGGUACCACCCAUCAGCUGCAGGUCCUCUAGAUGUUGAGAAAGCUGCACCUGUGUAAACACACACAACUUUGCCCCUAAGGAACAGACACAUCACUCACUCACAGGAAACUUGGCCCUAUGGAGCAGACUUGUCAGUCACUUUCAGGAAGCUGGCAUGAUGGGACAGGCUGCAGCUCAGACCCUUCACCCACACGCCAGCACCAUGCGUCUGUCUUUUGAGUCUGGAGAUGUAUUCCAGUCCCUUUGUCUCUGGCCAUUUUGAUUGUCCUUACAGACUCCCUAAGGAUUCUGUUGUUAUAGUCCUUAUGGGCAGGCCUGGAGCUUCUAAUAUUUUGUGGAUUUCUGUGUCACUUGCCUCUGGUGUGGAAAGGGGCUAGUGAUGUCUUCAGACAGUUGCUCUGUUACCAACUAUUCACUUGGUUGCUUCUUCUGCUUACUCAAGCCAGUCCUCACAAAGCCUAACUCCUGCGGCCACUUGGCCAUCUCAUCUCCACUGGGACAAAGCAAACUGUGGUCCUAAACCAUGAUAUCUGCUGUGGUACACAGACCAAGGUGCCCUGCAGACCAUGAAGGAUACCCAUCCUGUGCUCUGUUUCCUUGGGGUCCCAUGGGGGCUGCCACAGGCUCUAAUGGACUCAUGAACAAUUUGCCCUCAUAUCCAGUGAAUGAAACUUCCAUAGGGUGAUGGUAGAGAUAAGUUUGAACUAAGACUCUUGGAGAUGCACCCUGACUACCAAAAGUGAUAUCCAACUAUUCUAAGGCCUGCUAGUUUCUCUAUGCAUACUGGAAAUGGAAGAUCAGGAGCCCCUUCUCUGGCCCUGAGGAUGAGUGGUGUUGCUAGGGAGAUGACUUUGAAACAGAGCUCCUGGGUGCUUCACUGUACCACUUCAUGUUAAUCAUUACAGACUCGCUGAUUGCAGGUGCUUCCAGCUACUGAGAACCCACCUGGAGACCAUGCACGGUGAGUCAGCCACUGCCUUUAUCUAUAUCCCUGCACUCUUUGUGGGAUAAUAUCAAUAAUCACUCUGACUUGUGUGGUGAUUGUUAGUUUUUCGGCUGCGUUGUGUGCUUACCCUGCAAGGAAAUGCCACGAAACACGACAGAAUCCGCUAACAAGAGUUUUAUUAAAGGGACAGAGAGUGAACAGGCCUGUGGGAAACACGUGUGUGGAGAAGAAGAAGGAAGAGGAAGAAGAAGGAACUGGGAACAUGGCGCCGGAUUUUAAAGGCUGGGCGUGGACAGAUCAGCGUCACUACUACACGCAAGCGCGUAGAUCACAUGGCCACGUUGGCGCCUACGUAGCCAAUGGAACGUCACGGAUCUUGGUCACAGCGAGAUGCCCUGACCCGGAAAUGGCUAUCCUGACCUGGAACUGGCUAGGUAGAAGUGUCUGUUGGGCAUAUGCGAACACGCCUGACCGUGGGGGCGUGUUGUAAACCUUUCAGUGAUAUAUUGUGGACCCUAAUAAACUUGCCUGGGAAUCAGAAGACAGAGCCAGCCAUUAGAUUAGACAUAGAGGUAAGGCGGUGGUGGCACACACCUUUAAUCCUAUCACCCGGGAGGCAGAGAUCACUCUGGGUCUCUGUGAGUUCCAGGCCACAUUGGCCAACAUGAGAUUGAUCCAGCAUAGGAGAGAAACAGAGCCAGGCAGUGGUGGCACACACCUUUAAUCCCAGCACUUGAGAUCUCAUGCCUUUGCUUGGGAAGCACACACACCUUUAAUCCCAGAAAGUAAUAUGGCAGGGGAAAGAAAGGUAUAUAAAGUGUAAGGAAACAGGAACUCACUCUCUUUAGACUGAGGAUUUCAUAGAGGUAAGAACUAGUGGCUGGCUGUUCUGUUCUCUCAUCUUUCAGCUUCACCCUGAUAUCUGGCUCUGUUUUUUUUUUUUAUUUUUUUAUUAAAAGACCAUCUAAGAUUCGAACAACAGGCUUGUAUUAUUAAAAUGGAGUAGAUAAGGAGAUAUAUCAGUUAUUUUAAUGCAAGCUUAUCCCAUGUUCACUGUAGACAUUCAGCAAAUAUAAUCAUAUCUGGAGCCAAGGUAACGACCCAGCCAGUCAAAUGCUUGCUGUACAGGAAUAUGAGCCAGAGUCUAAUCCCCAGAACCCACAUAAAGGGCCACAUGUGCAGCAGCACAUGUCUGUAGCCCCGGUACUAGGGAGACAGAGAGGACCCUUGGACCUGGGUGUCUGGAUAGACUAGCCAAAAAGUGAGCUCUGAGUUCAGAGAGACCUUGUCUCAAAAAAAGGGAAGAGCAAUUGAAGAAGACUCCUGAUAUCCACCUCUGGUCUCCACACACAUCAACUUUCAUCCCACCACCGAGCAAAAGCUGCUGGGCCUCUUGCUGAUCCCAGAACUUGCCUGUUUAGCUAAGCAGGCUGACUGAUGAACUUCAGGGAUCAGCCUCUUUCGCCUCCCAGGACUGAGAUUAUAGAGGUCAACUGUUGCACUUCCAGUGUUGGCUCUUACGUCAUGUAAAGACAGCCUGCGAGGGAAAGCUGGCCACUAGAGAUGCCAAAGAGAAAAUGAGAAGCUGGAAAGAGCUUCCUCCGGGAGAAAAGGUGGAGCCCCUGACCUGCUAAGGAGCCUACGCCCAGACUCCACUCUUGCCCUUGGCAGCACCACUGGGCUUGGUUCAGAGAGGUCCGUGCAGCCCAAGUGUGUCCAGGACAAGGCCACCCAAUCAUCCACAAAGCUGGAGCUGGAAGGACCCAGGUUAGUCACCUGUUAAAUGGGAUGAUGGACAUUGCCUCCCACUAAUAACUGUAAUAGAUGCUGGCAGGAAAACAGGAAAGACUUGGUCAUUAACCCAAACUGAAUGUUGCAAGCUUCAGGAGCUGAGGUCAGAGUCAACCCUACAUUGAAUGAAAGAGGAGAGAGACUCUGGAGCUGAGCAUGAAGACAGUGUGAAGCAAACCCAGGGCCGCUAGAUACCACAUACCUGUGUCUUCCCUGGGCCACAGCCUCCCGUGAAGCCUUAACUCUCCUAAGGAUUUUCCACAGGGCCUACUCCGGUACAUCCAGCCACAUGUUCGCUGAAAAGCAUCCCGCAAAGAAACAGAAGGCCCCAUGACAGAAAGGAACUUUGUUUGAAAGCAGGGACUCUGCCAAGAUCAUUCAAGCAGACUGAGGUCAUUGGGGGGAGCCCUAAUGCAAUCUGACUGGUGUCUUUGUAAGAUGAAGACCAGGCGGACCAAGGCACCAAGGUGAGAGGUGGGCAAGUCCUCCCUCAACCCCGCAGGCCCGCCUGCUGCACCCACUUGCAGUCCCCACCCAGCAGCUGUGGUUGGACUUGGCCUAUGGCUGUGGAUGCUCUGAUUGUGUGCUGCUGUGGCAGACCUUGUUGGUCGGCUUAGAGAUAGGUGGUCCGUCAUUUAAGCAGAUAACAACAGUCUCACACCCAGCACUACUGGGGGGGGGGGGGGUCAGACAUGCCCCUGGUGAUGCUGGUUGGGAGGGAACUAUGUAAGUUUUCUCCAUGUUUGAGAGCUGAUACUAUGGACAUGUGGGCCCUCAUGGCUCCUGACUCACAGGAGGGGAGGCAAGGAAGAGGAAAGAAGCAAGAACUGGGGAACGGCUGGCCCAGAGGGCUGUCCAGAAAAAGCUGGAACCCUUACCCCCAUGGAGCAAGACAACAUGCUAUGCCUUGGCACCCCAGAAGACCCUAACUGUAUACCAGAAUUGCCAGAAGGCCUUUGUGACCACUAGUAUAUGGGAGCCGGGGAGCUUGCAGUACCCUCAAGCUCCUGAGAGACACAUCCAGAAUUGUGCGGGGCUGCUGUGCAUGGGUCUUAGGUCGUACUGAUAAGCCAAACCCAUCCUUUCUGCUGCCCAGGGUGACCCAGAGAACCACAGUUCUCAGAAGAAGCUGCACACACCCAAUGACCCUUCAGAUGGCUUGGCCUUGGCAGAGUAGAACAUUGUGAUUAUGGAGAGCUGGAGUGUUAUAGGUCAAAAGCCAAAAUGAUCGUGAAAAGACAGACAUAUGAUUUCAACCUCUAAGUGUCACCCAAUGCCUUGUGACUUCCAUAAAACCUUUGGAAUGUGUGCUUAAGCCUGACACACCCACCCUCUACCAAUGCAAUGGCUGUGAAUGCCGCAGACACGCUCUGACACGCUCCUGUGACACUCCCCUCCCCACCUUGUGUGACAGCCUUCCCCAUGACCCUGCCUGUGUAUUGUGUAAACACAUUGAUUCAUGGUGUUCUAUUUUUGUGACCAUGAAAGUUCAGGAGACCUUCACUGUGGGGAGACAUGUCAUGCUGGCUGAAUUCCUGAGCCAUAGCCAUUGGUGUUUGGAGAAGGAUGAACUAUUUCCUUAUUUACUCAAAGCAGAGUUUAUGUUUUUAUGUCAACAACCCAGUAUUUGGAGCUCAGUGCCUCAGUUUCCUCUGCUGCUCUAUUUCCCUGAACAAAGCAAACAGCAUUACAAGGAUGCAGGGGAGGAUGCUGAGUUAGCUCAGUGGUCUCUGCCUGGGUCCUUCCUUACCUGUGAUGUCAGCAUUCCUGCCUCCUCUGGGACCUAAUGCCUGCUGGCCUGAGCAGUUGUCCCAGCCCUGGGGAAAGUGAUCAUCCCCCAACUUCAUGUGGAACUGAGGCUCAGGCUUGAUGCCAGAAAAAAGGAUGGGGAAGCCCAGAAAGAGUCCCAAAUGAGUAAGAGGGGCAUUCAUCCUGAUGAGAAGGAUGAGAGGUGUCUGGUUGCUGAAGAGACCUGUGAGGAAGUUCACUGGCCUGACAUGGGAGCAGCACGUGGUCUGGGAAGAUCAUGUAGUGUUGACUUUAGUGGAAUUACCUUGAGCUGCCCUCUAGGAAGGACCUGGUUGCAGUCUGGACACGACCAGGGACCUUUGUCCUGGGCUUGCCUAUCUCUCCACAUCACCUGGGGAAUCACCACUUCGGAAACAAAACCAAGACCUGAAAGUCCUGGUGGAAUUUACGGUGAACCCACCGCAGCUUCACUCUGGGCAUCCCUUCACGCUGUGGCGGACACCCUGACGACAGGCAACAGAGCACUGGGGAAGCACGUGGUGGGCUUGCAGUUCCCACGUUACAGCUCAUCGUUUUGAGGAAGUCAAGGCAGGAACUCAAGCAGCUGGUCACCUCACAAGCGCAGGCAGAGCCGGGAGACCAACCGCGUCCUCGCUUGCUCAGCUGGCUCUCUUCACUCUCACGCAGGCCAGGGCCCAGCUCCUGAAAUGAUGCCACCCACAUUCAGGGUGGCUCUCCUCACCUCAAUUAACAAUCAAGACAAUCCCCCACAGACCUGCCCACAGGCCAAGCUGAUCUAAAUAACUCCUCAUUAAGACACUCCUCCCAGGCGACCGUACGGUGUGCCAACCUGACACAGAUUUUCCAAGAAAAGAGGUGGUGUUCGGCAGGUGCGGUCCACUUUCCUGUCUGGCUUAGAGCCUUGUGGUGCCAGGCUUAUGGUUUGGGAAAUGGAGGGCUCGGCAGUCCUCCAAGAAUGUUCUGGGGUGUCGUGGCUCCAGAACCUCACUGACACAAGUGGGUGUCAGUUUAGAAGGGGCUGGGGCUGCUGUGGGUAGGGUGGGGCGAGACUCCCAGUCUUCGCAGAGAACAGUGCCUUCUUGGGUUUCGCAGUGGAGUGCGAUGAGUCUUGCUGCUGUGGGAGGAAGUCAGGCAGGCGAGAUGCUGGGAUGCUCCACUGUGGCUGCUCCACUGUGGCUGCUCCACUGUGGCUGCUCCACUGUGGCUGCUCCACUGUGGCUGCUCCACUGUGGCUGCUCCACUGUGGCUGCUCGUCUACUCUCCCUGGGAGUGGCAGGGUGAGUGUGUGUAGACCCAGGCCUGGAGAGCUUGGUUUUGGAGGUAGCCCGUAGACAGGAACCACAGGGCUGUGGGAGCUAAGGGGUGAUGCACCCCCCUCGGGUAUGCCAGUUGGGAAAGGCACAGCAACCGUGCUGCUCUGAGCCCAGUGCACAAGCCAGCUGAGGCACCUGCCACGCCCCCAUGUCCUCCUCACCCUGACUCUGGGAAACUACAUGUGUGGCUAGAGCACAGGGCCACAAGGGGUGAGGGUGGCUGGCAGAUGUAACGGGAGAGGUGUGCACACGGGUGGCACCUGGCCCAGGGCACAUGGCUUUCGAUCUGUCUUUCAUAUACCUGCUCCCCAAAUCUGCCAUGUCACAUCUGGUGCCCAGUCUUGAGUCAUCCUUUUGAGGCUAGAAGGGCCACAGAGGAGCAGGCGCCUAUCAACAGCGGGAGCUCUUGGCUCUGAGCUGCGAGAAGGAGCAAGAGACCCACGGCACCUAAAGGCGUAGCCCCUGCGGACCCCACAUCCUGUGGGAGGCAGAGUCUGGGUGAGAUCAGCCUUCCUGCUGGGGCUGGGCCUCCUCUCAGUUUCUUCGCCCUCAUCCCUCGCUGAACCCCUCUUGAGAUCAUCGUCACCCUCGGUUGCUGCCCUGCCAUCUGGUAGCCCUUGGACCAGAUGUCACUGUCUCAUUUGCUUCCCCAGGGGUCUCACUGGACACAUGGGUCACUCCCUUGCUGUUGACCUCCUGUGGGCUCUGAGCUUUGCUCCCGAUGGCUGAGGGCCACGCACAGGUGACUUGCUGACUUGUGUCCAUUUCAGGAUAUCAGGCUCAUGCUCAUCAUUUUCUUCAGGGUCAUUCACAGAUGCCAUAGCCUCAUCUUCUUCAGGAUCAAUGGUGCAGUGGGCAGAAGCUUGGUCGGAAGUGUGAGAUGUCACCUGGGUACAUGUACUGGUACCUCAGAGCUCUGCAGGAAGCAAAACUGGCAGGAUGUGGAGAGGUGAUUUAUACACACAUGUGCACACACUCGUGCAGACUCACACACAGUUGCAUAAUGCUCACACAUGUGUGUGCACAUGCAUGCACAUGCACACAUACACACUCACAUCCUCAGACACAUGUGUGCACACACUCAUGCAUGUUCACACAUACACAUGGACAUACUAACUCACAUGUGUGCACACAGAUGUGUGAACACAUGCAUACAGGAGCAUGCACACAUGUGUACACACUCACAUGUACACACAAUUCAUACAUGUGCAUACAUGUACAUGGGAGCAUACACCCACAAAUGUGUACUCAUUUGUACACAAUCAAAUUUAUACACACAUGUUAAUGUAUAUGUACUCACACUCAUGUGUUCACACACAUGCAUAUAUACACAUGUGCACAUACAUAUACAUACACCCAGAUGUACACAAGCCUGCACAUAUAUGUAUAUACAAUACAUGUACACACAUAUGCUCACACACAUACACACAUACAUGCACACACAUUUACAUAUCAUGUAAUGAUGUUUUGGCCAGCAACAUACCACAUGUAUGACCAUAGUAAUGAGCUGAAAAAUUCCUAUCCUCUAGUGACAGCCAUCAUGUCCUAGCCCGGCGCAUGCUUUGUGUGUCUGGGGUGCUGUGGGAUGCAUCCUACUCUGCCGUAAGUCAUACAGUCCAGCCCACAUCAUAGAGCAGUGCGCUGUGCUCAGCGGCGACUCUGGGUGGCGGUGGGGCUGCUGUCUUCACUGAUGACACUGUUUUUUUGCUAUUUUACAGGGUGCCCAUUCUCUUUAUAAUAAAAGGAUAUAUAAUAUUUAUAUAUGCGAGUAUAAUAUAUAAAAUAAAAAGUGUGUGUGGUCACGA